GGAAGACGCUCGGAUUGAAACCCAUUUCAUUUCUCUGGUUUCCUACUUUUCUUCCUCACCGAGACCAAAAUCUCACAACGCGCAAAAACAAAGAAAAACCCUAGCCCUAAUAAACAACACAGUAUAUUUGUAUAGAUCUCCCCACUUGAUCUGAUCAAAAUUUGAGAGGGACUAAGAGAACAGGGGGCAUCUUUUUAGCAGAGGGAGGCGAGCAAGGGGCAAACGAAACUCAUUGAGAAGAGGGAGGCCUAGUCGCGUGAUUUUGGAGUUCCAAAACUCAUUGACUCGUGCGGGUUGGGACUGAGAGAACAAAGGGCAAGCUCGAUUUGGGACUGAGAGAGGGAAGGGGAAUCUUGGCGUGAAUUACAAGUAGAGGACAAUGAAGAAAUACAAAACGAAACGUUUUAAUCCUUUGCCAAGUCAGCAAUGGGCCAGCCGUUUACCUGCCGCUUAAGGGUAGGCAACUGCAACAAGAGUUUUCUUGUUAAAUUACUUAUGGAAUGUUAGUUGAGCCAUCCUCAUUUAUUUAUCUGAAGCACAAAGCUAUGAACCCAAUGACUGAUAUGUGAUCAUCUCAAAAACACCGUACUCGGACUCAAAGCCAUCUCUAGCAUUAGUUUUCAAUUAAUGAUUUAUGAAA